rnacentral:rRNA from 1 species
UAGCUAGUUGGUAGGGUAAAGGCCUACCAAGGCGACGAUCGUUAGCUGGUCUGAGAGGAUGACCAGCCACACUGGAACUGAGACACGGUCCAGACUCCUACGGGAGGCAGCAGUGGGGAAUAUUGGACAAUGGGGGCAACCCUGAUCCAGCAAUGCCGCGUGUGUGAAGAAGGCCUGAGGGUUGUAAAGCACUUUCAGUGGGGAGGAGGGUUUGUAGGUUAAGAGCUAGCAAACUGGACGUUACCCACAGAAGAAGCACCGGCUAACUCCGUGCCAGCAGCCGCGGUAAUACGGAGGGUGCGAGCGUUAAUCGGAAUUACUGGGCGUAAAGGGUGCGUAGGUGGUUAAUUAAGUUAUCUGUGAAAUCCCCGGGCUUAACCUGGGCAGGUCAGAUAAAACUGAUUAACUCGAGUAUGGGAGAGGGUAGUGGAAUUUCCGGUGUAGCGGUGAAAUGCGUAGAUAUCGGAAGGAACACCAGUGGCGAAGGCGGCUACCUGGCCUAAUACUGACACUGAGGCACGAAAGCGUGGGGAGCAAACAGGAUUAGAUACCCUGGUAGUCCACGCCGUAAACGAUGUCAACUAGCUGUUGGUCAUAUGAAGAUGAUUAGUGGCGA